CCUACGGGUGGCAUCAGUAGGGAAUAUUGCUCAAUGGGGGAAACCCUGAAGCAGCAACGCCGCGUGGAGGAUGAAGGUUUUCGGAUUGGAAACUCCUUUUGUUAGAGAAGAAAAUGACGGUAUCUAACGAAUAAGCACCGGCCACCUCCGUGCCAGCAGCCGCGGUAAUACGGAGGGGUUAAGCGUUACUCGGAAUCACUGGGCUUAAAGGGCGCGUAGGCGGGAUAGCAAGUCAGAUGUGAAAUCCUUUGGCUUAACCAUAGGACUGCAUUUGAAACUGUUAUUCUAGAGUAUGGGAGAGGUAGGUGGAAUUCUUGGUGUAGGGGUCAAAUCCGUAGAGAUCACGAGGAAUACUCAUUGCGAAGGCGACCUGCUAGAGCAUAACUGACGCUGAUGCGCGAAAGCGUGGGGAGCAAACAGGAUUAGAUACCCGUGUAGUC
rnacentral:rRNA from 1 species